CACGUAGGGAGCAAGCGUUGUCCGGAUUUAUUGGGCGUAAAGAGCUCGUAGGUGGUUCGGUAAGUCAGGUGUGAAACCUCCAGGCUCAACCUGGAGACGCCACUUGAUACUGCUGUGACUGGAGUCCGGUAGGGGAGCGUGGAAUUCCUGGUGUGGCGGUGAAAUGCGCAGAUAUCAGGAGGAACACCAGCGGCGAAGGCGGCGCUCUGGGCCGGUACUGACACUGAGGAGCGAAAGCGUGGGUAGCAAACAGG
rnacentral:rRNA from 1 species